CAUCGCGGCAACAAGCACCGAGUAAACAGUCCCACUGAAUGUUCUGAUAAAUUGUCAGGAUGUCGCUAGGCGCCGAGUUUCAGCCUUGAAUGUUUCAUGAUUUUUACCAUUUAGUGUGACUCGGGAGUUCACGUUAGAUACUAUAUAGACGCAUAAAGUGUUGAAAAAAGCUUUAAGAAAAUUUAAACAGUACAAUGGCAGCUGAACGCUAUGGUACCUGUGCUACGUUAAGAUGAUAUGCUAAGCUAAGUGCUAGUAGCAGCUCCGUUCAUUUCUUCUUCUGGGAUGAUAGAGCUCCUUCGGACAUGGCUGCGGGAGCUUCCGGCGGCUCGUUCGAGUCCACUAUGGACCGGAGGUUCCGAUCUGUCACAAACACGAUGGAUUCAAUUCAAGGACUGUCAAUGUGGUGCAUCGAGAACAAGAAGUACCACAGCCUGAUUGUACGACACUGGAUAAAGUGUGUGAAGAAAUCCGACCCCUCACAGAGGCUCAAUCUUAUUUACCUGGCUAACGAUGUCAUUCAGAACUGUAAAAGGAAAAACGCCAUCGUUUAUCGCACCGCAUUUGCUGAGGUGCUUCGGGACGCCUUCUUGCUUGUCAACUAUGAAGGUGACCCUAAGGUAAUUAAAUCAGUGGAGAGGAUACUGUCCAUCUGGGAAGAGAGGGGGGUGUAUUCGGGGACACUCAUCACCGAGCUGAGGAGUAGUUUAGUCAAAGAAGAGUCUCCUCCUGAGACGCCCGUGGAGCAGAAAACUCCAGUUGAUUCAAAAGCAGAUCUACGGUCCAAAGUUGUUGCUGAGUUUGUGCCCCAGGCACUCCUAGACCAGCUGUCCAAGUACAAGAGAUCUGUGGAGGAUGUUGACCUAAGAGAGAAACAGCUGGCAGCUAUGAGGGUUGACAUCUGCAGUACUGAGGCCCUCAGAAAACUCAAAGACAAAGCCGGAGGAAAGAAGUUCUCCAAGGACUUUGAGGAGGGGAGUGCGCAACUGCAGGAGUUCGUAAAGUUCCUUGAGAACGAGAGUAAAACAGGUCCUUCUCUCUUAGAGGCUCUCGGCAACGCAGAUAUCUUCUACGAGAUGCAGUACAAGGAGGUCAAGAUUGUUGCUAAUGCCUACCAGACGUUUGCAAACCGGGUGUCCCAACUGAAGCGUAAGCUGGAUGCCCUGAAGACCAACUUACCAGACCUGGACGAGUCACCAAUCCCGUCACCCUCUGCAGACGCCCCAUCUCCAACGGGCUCAGAGUCACCUUUUCAUGGCAUGGAAUUGGCUCAACCCGAUCCAGAUCUGGACGGCUCUGCUAUGGACGACGAGGCGGAGCCACCAGCCCCAAGCCCCCUGUCCUCACCCGGAGGAUCCCCCAGGCAGAUGGAGACCCUCGGGGAGAGUGACAAACUGGAAGUGGAGGAUAUGGAGCUCUCUGAGGAAGAAAUGGAGAGCGGAGGGAUUAUAGUCGAGGAGCAAAUUGAGCACCCAACCCACCCAGAGGUGUCUCCUCCUGUCCCUGUGAAAACAGAGCCAUCAGUGGUAACAGAGCAGCCCGUCUCACAGGCCACGCCUCCCGUAGCAGCUCCCACAUCGGCCUUGGAGAGUGUCGACCUGGGUAAAAUCGGCUCCAUCCUCAACAGUUUAAGCUCAGUCAUGAAGAGCUCAGGACCAUUAGUGGAAAGUCCUCCUGCAGCUGUGAAGAGCACACCUGCGUCCUUCGUGGCUCCCCAGGAAGCCAGUUCACUUGCAAACCUCCUCUCCAAGGUGGAUGUUAGCCCUGCUGAUAUCCUCGGUGCUCUCGCAAAAGUGCAGGGCAAAGGCAGCCUUGAGGGGAUCACUUCAGUUCUGAGCAGCCCGGCUGCAAAUGUCUCCUCAGACUCCUCCAAUACAGGCAAGAUUCUUCCCUCCCCCUCUCCCUUGUCCACAUCUACAUCAGCAGCAGCCACUCAGAGCCCGUCUCUCUACUCUGUUGCAUCCAUGCCUUCUUCACUCAGCUCCACCGUACAGCAGAGCACAAGCUCCCAAGCGACCCCUCAGGCUGCAAACCCGGCCUCUGCCCUGGUCCAGGCUCUCCACAGAGACAUGGACUUAAUCACAGAGCCAGAACUGUCCUCUUCUUCUCAGAGCUUAGAGUCUAAAAUCCACAGCUUCCUUCAGGGGAACUCUGCUUUCAGUACAUUUGACCUGGGGCUUCCUUCACAGCCGGCGCAGGCAGGGGAUAACCUCAGCCCAGUACCUGGGCCAGACACCCAGGAAGGGACCCCGGUGCGUGACGAGGGCGGAGGCACCCCAACUCAAGAUGAAAUCAUGGACAAGCCUGCGACGGCCCUGUUCUCUUCCGGCACAACGCAAUCAUCAUCUGUUGGAGAAACUUUUGAAACGGCUUCUAUUGUGUACCAGAACAGCAGUCAGCAGAACCCCAACCCUUCACAACAGCAGGCUCACCUGCAGCCAGGUGUGGCGCAGAAUGGACAGGUCUACCAGCCAUACCAAUAUGGCAAACAAGAGUUGUCAGUGCAUGGGAUUACUGCACCUAUUGCACAUUACCAGCAGAUUUGUGGAGGAUCAGUGCCUGGAGAAAGAGCCCCAGGCGGUGCCAGCAGCACACAGACAGUCGACGGCUUUCAGGCGGUGAAUGAGAGGAGUUGGUACGGGGACAUUUACCCCAAGGGAAUCUCUCAACAACCUGGAGGCUACAAUCUUGCGAUGCCUGGAGAGAACCAGACAUCAUCACUCUAUCCCUACCAAGCAGGGGCAAAUCAUAAACCUCCAGAAGUCCAGCAGGGUUCAGCUACAUCCUCUGGUUUCUUCACAAGCCCCCUCCCUCCUGUCCCAAAGCUCCCUCCUAUUCUUCAUGGCCUUGACACCUCCAAUGCUGCGACAAACAGCUCAAUGAUUCCCAUUGAGCAGCAGCAGCGGAUGCCCCUCCCGGACACGGCAGAGAUGAUGCGACCCAGAGCAGACAGCGUCAUCAGUGGGAUGGUGGUCCACGACCAUCAACACAAAUCCCUGUUUCAUCCAGACGAUCCAUCAUAUGAUCGAGAUCAUCCUCGCCCUCCUCACCCUGAUGACCUGCGCUACCACGAGGACCCUUGCUAUCAGGAAGCUCCUUUCUUUCAAGACGACCCUUACCACCACCCAGAAGAUCCAUAUUACAGGCCGGGCAGCCCUCCACGCCACUACCCAAGAGUCCAAGGCCGCCUCGAUGCCCCCCUCUCACCCUCAGAGGAUCCUUACUACACCCACGAGUACCAACACCACAGCCCCCAACCCCCCCACUACACUCCGAGAAGACCACCUCCACCUCAUCAUCUCGAGAUCCGUCAUCCUGGUCAGCGCCAUCCACAUCAGCCUCCCCACCCAGCACACCAUCCUCGCCCGAGAGGCCCGCCACGCCCGCCGUUCCCCGGAUUCCAACGUGGCCCCGAUCCGAGGUUAAGAGGCAAACGUCCAGGUCCGAGGGGAGGGGGUCCAGCUGGUCCAAUGUUCCUCCCAAAAAGACCCUUUCUGCCCCCGAGGUACUGACGGGACUCGUAGCAUUUAAGCUUUACAAGUCGCUGUGGACAUCAGGACAGCAGGGAGAGGAACUCUGUGUCCAACUGAUGCCACUGAAUCUGGGAAAGAGUGGAGAAACGGAGGUGGGCCUUGGCAGACAAUGAAAUCCAAGCUACCAGAAGAGAAAUGGAGAAGAACAAAAGGAUGGUCAGAAAGUUGAGGAGCACGAGAGACAACAUGCGGAGGUGUUAAAGAAACCGGAGGUUCUGAGAGAGCUGCUGAGCCGAAGAAAGAAGACAGAAGAUGAAAGAAAAUAAGAGGGAUCCAGAGCCACACUUUGAUGUGUCUGCUGAUGUGAUGGGGAGACCUCUUUGAAUCCUACUCAGCUAGCAGUGACAGAAACUCCUCUUCAUGGUCUGACUUCAGUGCUGUGAAUCAGCAGCUGAUGAAUUUUUGUUUGGAAGGAGCUUUAUAAGAAGGUAGGACAGAGCGACCAUGUGAGUAAGUACAUAAACACUGUAAAUAUUACACUGUCCUUUCAAAAUCCUCUGAUGUUUAAUUCACAAAGAAUAUUUACUGCAUGUUUUUAAUGAAAUAAAAUUGUAUUGUUCAUAUAGAAAUAAACUAACUGUUGUGUGUUUAUUUAUUUAACAGUAGAUCUGCAUCAUCAUUUCUCCAACUUGUUUCCUAGAGCUUAAACUCUGGGACAGUUUGACUUUAAACAUUAUUUUAGUCUUGUUAAAAAAAGGGGAUAUUAUUCUCUCAUCUUAGAGAAAGGUUGCCAUAGUUGGGUAACACAAUUAUAACUUUUCUACUAAACAAAAUAAACCUUUGAAUAAAGAUGCUUCUUUUAAAAAUCACACCAUGAUCAGGUGAAUUUAGUCCAUAUAUCACUUGUGUAUACUUAUUAAACCUGUAAAAUUCAUGUUGUACUGUAAAAUAUUGCAACCUCUUUCUUGUUGUAAUUCAAUUUCUUUGAAUUUUUUGUUUUCAGAAAAUUAAGUUUACCAUCUUUAAAUCCUCAUUGUAUUCUCUUCCUUAAAAAAAAAAACAGUUUAAACACUCUUGCUGCACCAAACAGAUUUUCUUUCCAGUAGAAUAUAAAGAUACUUUGACCUGAUUUAGGCAGAUAUACUGUUAGAGAUUGUUCUUACUAACAGGGUAUAUCCAGUAGUAACUCAUUGAGACAAACUGGUUCAUCAGAAGGAAACAUAAAUAGUCAGAGCGUAAUAAAAAGAGGGCCAUUUCACUGUAGUUUCACUUUUGAAACAUGAAGAAUUUUGUUCUGAAAUUGAGGCUGAACUUUAAUUUAUAAUCUACUAAUACAUUAUUCUACUUAUCGUUUAUGAUAUGUUAACUAUAUUUAUCUUAAAAUGUGGUGUAGAGUCCACAGAUUCAUUACAUUGAGUUAAAUUAAAAGUCAUAUAUUUAAAAAACAAAACCUUUGGAAAGCUUUUGUAUAUGGUCACCAGAUGUCGUUGUUGUUCAGCUACACUCUGAAAUAAAAAUAAAAAAUAAAAUAAAAACACACAAUCCCAUUUAAUAGUCGCACGAAUCACGUUUUUGUCUUUUUGUUUUUUGUUGCGCAGAUAAGUUUUUCUUUUUGUCUCGAUCAUUUCUACCUGAUCAGAGCCAGAUGAAGUCAGCGUUGGCCUCGCCUGCACUCUGGGCUUAUAUAUCGGGGUUGAAGGGCGGAAAUAGGAUUUAGUGACUGAUGGCAGAUGGCAGUCUUAACAUCAGAGACAAGCCGAGGAGAGAUUCUGCUGCUGGGAAUAAAGGAUUUAACGGAGCAGGCAGAGACAGAGCUGCGCUGAGUUUAAAACAUGAACUCUAAUGUUGCAGCCGUUGCUUUGGUCCACAUCGUGACUCCUUUCAAGUGUCGUCGGGUGUGUGCUGCCUGCUGUCAGGAGGGCUCAUUGUUUACAUGCUGUCCAGAUUUCAGAGAGAGAGAGAGAGAGAGAGAGAGAGUGUGUGUGUGUGUGUGUGGUGUGUGUGUGUGUGCGCGCGCGCGCCUUUAUGUUUCCCUGCGAGAAUUACGCUCCCUGCAUUUUCUAAAACACUUAUUAAAACGUGUUUUCCCGCAUUCAUUCAAGAAGGGAAUAUUGUAACCAUGAUGAUAAUGUCACGAGUUAUAGAGACCGAUUUCAGCACCAUGGCCAGCUCCACGUCGAGAACAAAAGGCGGAUUUGCGUCCCUUGAUGUCAGAGACGGUCUGCUUUUUACCAUGCACAGGAAAAACGAAAAUAAGACAGAACCCUGAAAUACAACACCCCCAGCUCUCUUUAUGAUCCUAUUUUACCUCUACACUUCGCUUUUGCAGGAAAUAGGCCACACUAACAUUGAUUGCUUUAUGUUUAAAUGAAAGUCUUUGUCUAAAGGGCCUUUCUGCUUGAUAUCUAGUUUAUGUGUGCGUUACAAUGUGAUGGUAAUGUAACACCUUAGCAAUGGGUCCUUUCUCUGUUCACUGAACUAAUCAGCAUGCCUACAGUUUAUAGCCAUUUUCAUUGUUUAUUUAAUCUCUGUUAGUCGAUUCAGAAAAUGAAUGCUAAAUGGCGACAAGUGUUUCUCUUAACUGUGAUAAGUCAUUAAACGUCUUUAAAUAAAACACAGGUAUUCAUUUAGCUGUCAUAAUGAAUAAAGAAAAACAUAAAGUUGAUAAAUGUUGUUAUAGGUCUAAUUAACAGACCUUCUAUUUCGAUGAUGGGCUGUAUUUCUUUGUUGAUGUUAUUUUGUUGGAUUAAUUCCUGUUUAACUUUCGUUUUCGGGUUUUCGGGCUAAAUAAAGUAUACACUUCUCAUCAA